CCUACGGGGGGCAGCAGUGAGGAAUAUUGGUCAAUGGGCGCGAGCCUGAACCAGCCAAGUAGCGUGAAGGAUGACGGCCCUACGGGUUGUAAACUUCUUUUAUAAGGGAAUAAAGUGAGGCACGUGUGCCUUUUUGUAUGUACUUUAUGAAUAAGGAUCGGCUAACUCCGUGCCAGCAGCCGCGGUAAUACGGAGGAUCCGAGCGUUCUCCGGAUUUAUUGGGUUUAAAGGGAGCGUAGGUGGAUUGUUAAGUCAGUCGUGAAAGUCUGGGGCUCAACCGUCGAACUGCAGUUGAAACUGGCAGUCUUGAGUACAGUAGAGGUAGGCGGAAUUCGUGGUGUAGCGGUGAAAUGCUUAGAUAUCACGAAGAACUCCGAUCGCGAAGGCAGCUUACUGGAGUGCAACUGACGCUGAUGCACGAAAGUGUGGGUAUCAAACAGGAUUAGAUACCCCAGUAGUC
rnacentral:rRNA from 1 species